rnacentral:rRNA from 1 species
UACGUAGGGCGCAAGCGUUGUCCGGAAUCAUUGGGCGUAAAGAGCUCGUAGGCGGCCUGUCGCGUCUGCUGUGAAAUCCCGGGGCUUAACCCCGGGCGUGCAGUGGAUACGGGCUGGCUGGAGGCAGGCAGGGGAGAACGGAAUUCCCGGUGUAGCGGUGAAAUGCGCAGAUAUCGGGAGGAACACCGGUGGCGAAGGCGGUUCUCUGGGCCUGUACUGACGCUGGGGAGCGAAAGCGUGGGGAGCGAACAGG